AGCAGCCGCGGUAAUUCCAGCUCCAAUAGCGUAUAUUAAAGUUGUUGCAGUUAAAAAGCUCGUAGUUGAAUUUCGGGGUCAGUAGGUUGGUCAUGCCUCCGGUAUGCACUGGUCUCACUGAUUCCUCCUUCCUGAUGAGCCGUAAUGCCAUUAAUUUGGUGUUGCGGGGAAUCUGGACUGUUACUUUGAAAAAAUUGAGUGUUUAAAGCAAGCUAACGCUUGAAUACAUUAGCAUGGAAUAAUGGAAUAGGACGUUCGAUCCUAUUUUGUUGGUUUCUAGGAUUGACGUAAUGAUUAAUAGGGAUAGUUGGGGGCAUUAGUAUUCAAUUGUCAGAGGUGAAAUUCUUGGAUUUAUUGAAGACUAACUACUGCGAAAGCAUUUUGCCAAGGAUGUUUUUCAUUAAUCAAGAACGAAAGUUAGGGGAUCGAAGACGAUCAGAUACCGUCGUAGUCUUUAACCAUAAACUAUGCCGACUAGGGAUCGGAUGAUGUUAAUUUUUUAAUGA
rnacentral:rRNA from 1 species